rnacentral:rRNA from 1 species
AACGAACGCUGGCGGCAGGCUUAACACAUGCAAGUCGAGCGGGCCCUUCGGGGUCAGCGGCAGACGGGUGAGUAACGCGUGGGAACGUACCCUUUACUACGGAACAACUCCGGGAAACUGGAGCUAAUACCGUAUGUGCCCUUCGGGGGAAAGAUUUAUCGGGGUAUGAUGAGCCCGCGUUGGAUUAGCUAGUUGGUGGGGUAAAGGCCUACCAAGGCGACGAUCCAUAGCUGGUCUGAGAGGAUGAUCAGCCACAUUGGGACUGAGACACGGCCCAAACUCCUACGGGAGGCAGCAGUGGGGAAUAUUGGACAAUGGGCGCAAGCCUGAUCCAGCCAUGCCGCGUGAGUGAUGAAGGUCUUAGGAUUGUAAAGCUCUUUCACCGGAGAAGAUAAUGACGGUAUCCGGAGAAGAAGCCCCGGCUAACUUCGUGCCAGCCGCCGCAGUAAGAC